rnacentral:rRNA from 1 species
UCCCAGCCGUAAACGAUGCUCGCUAGGUGUCAGGCGCGGUGCGACCGCACCUGGUGCCGCAGUGAAAACCUGAAGCGAGUCACCUGGGAAGUACGGUCGCAAGGCUGAAACUUAAAGGAAUUGGCGGGGGAGCACUACAACGGGUGGAGCCUGCGGUUCAAUUGGAUUCAACGCCGGAAAGCUUACCGGGUCAGACAGCAUUAUGAAGGUCAGGCUAAAGACCUUACCGAAUUCGCUGAGAGGAGGUGCAUGGCCGUCGUCAGUUCGUAUCGUGAGACAUCCUGUUAAGUCAGGCAACGAGCAAGACCCGUGCCCACAGUUGCCAGCAUACCCUCCGGGGUGAUGGGCACACUGUGGGGACCGCCGCUGCUAAAGCGGAGGAAGGAGCGGGCUACGGUAGGUCAGUAUGCCCCGAAUCAUCCGGGCUACACGCGGGCUACAAUGGUUGGGACAAGUGGGCACCUACACCGAGAGGUGAUGG